rnacentral:rRNA from 1 species
GACGUAGGGGGCGAGCGUUGUCCGGAUUUAUUGGGCGUAAAGCGUGCGUAGGCGGCUGCGCAAGUCGGGUGUGAAACCCCGGGGCUCAACCCCGGAACUGCAUCCGAUACUGCGUGGCUAGAGGUAGGUAGGGGAGAUCGGAAUUCCUGGUGUAGCGGUGAAAUGCGCAGAUAUCAGGAGGAACACCGGUGGCGAAGGCGGAUCUCUGGGCCUUACCUGACGCUCAGGCACGAAAGUGUGGGGAGCGAACAGG